GACGGACCACACAAACGUUAUUCGGAAUUACUGGGCUUAAAGGGUGCGUAGGCUGUGCAGUAAGUUGGGUGUGAAAUCCCUCGGCUCAACCGAGGAAUUGCGCCCAAAAACUACUGUGCUCGAGGAAGACAGAGGUAAGCGGAACUUAGGGUGGAGCGGUGAAAUGCGUUGAUAUCCUAAGGAACACCGGUGGCGAAAGCGGCUUACUGGGUCUUUUCUGACGCUGAGGCACGAAAGCUAGGGUAGCGAACGGG
rnacentral:rRNA from 1 species